CUUUUGUCAGCAUUGCCUAGAGCCACAGAAAGCUGCUCCGUAUUGUGGAAAUUAAUACUCGAAUAAACAGAAGUAAGUUUAAAAUCUAAACAAAUGUGGAUUUAUACACAGGGAGACGGGCAAGGAUAAAAUCUCUUACCCUCUGCCCUCUAAUCUGCAAAUCAAGAGUGGGAACAUGGGCAUCACAAAUAGGCAGAAGUGUGUGUGAUUUACAGAAGUGACGGUGAAUGGAGGGUGAGGGGACAUGGUAGUGGGGAGGACUGGGAAGCCAGAACCCAGCUGCCUUGUUACCAUGGGCAACUACGCAGACUCACAGGGAAUUUCAAAGGUGCCAGCACAACUGUCUUUGGGGUCUGCCAAGGAGCCAGAUGCUGGUGCUGAGUGAAUAUUUUAGACUGUUUGCCACACUGUUUUCAGAAUUCUACCUGAUCAUCUUCCCAUCUUCUUUGGAAAACCCAGUGAUUAGAGGAUAUAAAAGCAGUCACCUGUCAACCCAAUCCAGCAAUGAAAUUCAGCAGCCUAUUGUCCCAAUCACUGCUUUCAAUCACUCUAAACGGUCUCCAGAGACAAUCAUUAUUAUAGGACAUGUUCCUAAGAGUAGAUAAAUGGAGCUCAACCUGCCAGCCUGCAUAGGGAAAGAUGGACAGUCUUGGCCAAAAAUAUGAAAGGGCCUGGAGCUUUAUUGACAUUUACAUCAAAAAUAGUUAGCAAUGAAAGCAGCUGUUGUGGAGAGCUUUCACCACAACGUGUUUGGAAUAUGCUGUGAAUUGAAAUACAGACCUCCUGACAAGCAAUUUACCUUCUGUCAUUCUCCAUGUGCUUGCAGCAUUACUGGGUACUUGCUGUGAUAGCCCACUUAAAGCUGCACAUGUGUACAGUUUGGAUGAAAGAUUAACUGCAAUUUGAGGCAGGAAGUAACGAAUUGUGGAGUGUCAUUCAUAAUGGCCGACAUUGUCAUCUGCAGGGUGACACCACAGCAAGAAGGUGCCUCUGUUGUGACUAGCUUAUAGAUUCAGAUGUCAUUCAUCCUAAUGAAGAUCUGCCUACAGUUCUAAUAAGCAGAGUGUGAGACAGCUCAGGAUUAUAAGCAUUAAUCUGCCUUGUUUGUUGACAUUAACAUGAUGACUAAAAUGCCAUUAUGCAAGAAAUUCUUUCGAAAGCUAUUAAAAAGGGGCAAUCUUAAUAUGAGCAUUACAGCCCAGAACAGAAGUUAAUUUCCGUGUUUACUCUUGUCAUUUCCUGCACUGUAUUGAUUUUUUUUUUCUCCUCUAAAUAACUGAUACUGCACAAAAGUUUUUGAUAUUUCACAAAUAUACUACCACUUCCUGUGACCAAAAUACAACCCAAAUGUUGAUUCCCCCUAUUGCAAAAGGUAAAUCUAUUAACCCCCAGUGCUGAAAGCAUGUUAUGUUAAAUAUAAAUGUCGAUAUGAUAAAUAUUUAGCUGAUAUCUUGUGAGAGUAACAAACUGAAAUCACGCCAAGCACACUUAAAAGGAAGACUUAUGAUA
rnacentral:lncRNA from 1 species